AUUGAACGCUGGCGGCGUGCCUAACACAUGCAAGUCGAACGCGAAAGCCCCGCAAGGGGGCAAGUAGAGUGGCAAACGGGUGAGUAACACGUGGGUGACCUGCCUUCGAGCGGGGGAUAACGUCCCGAAAGGGACGGCUAAUACCGCAUAACAUCCUGCCUUUGAAGAGGUGGAGAUCAAAGCUGGGGAUCGCAAGACCCGGCACUUGAAGAGGGGCCCGCGCCUGAUUAGCUAGUUGGGGGGUAAUGGCCUACCAAGGCAACGAUCAGUAUCCGGCCUGAGAGGGCGGACGGACACACUGGGACUGAGACACGGCCCAGACUCCUACGGGAGGCAGCAGUGGGGAAUUGUUCGCAAUGGGCGCAAGCCUGACGACGCAACGCCGCGUGGAGGAUGAAGAUUUUCGGAUCGUAAACUCCUGUCGAAUGGGACGAAAAGAUAACGGGUUAACAGCCC
rnacentral:rRNA from 1 species